GAUGAACGCUGGCGGCGUGCCUAACACAUGCAAGUCGAGCGAGAUGCUUCUGAUAGAUUCUUCGGAUGAUAGAUGAAGCGGAAAGCGGCGGACGGGUGAGUAACGCGUAGGCAACCUGCCCUUCACAGAGGGAUAGCCUCGGGAAACCGGGAUUAAAACCUCAUAAUGCCAUAGGAAGACAUCUUCUCUUGGCCAAAGAUUUAUCGGUGAAGGAUGGGCCUGCGUCUGAUUAGUUAGUUGGUGGGGUAACGGCCUACCAAGGCGACGAUCAGUAGCCGACCUGAGAGGGUGAUCGGCCACAUUGGAACUGAGACACGGUCCAAACUCCUACGGGAGGCAGCAGUGGGGAAUAUUGCACAAUGGGGGAAACCCUGAUGCAGCAACGCCGCGUGAAGGAAGAAAGGCCUUCGGUCGGUAAACUUACUGUCCUUGGGUAAGAAACGAAAUAGACGGUACCCUUCGGAGGAAGCCCGGCUAACUAACGUG
rnacentral:rRNA from 1 species